GUGCUCCAACAAGCCGUGUAGGACAGAGAGUGAAUAUACUAUACAGAGUUGCUGUAUUAGAAACCACUGAGGAUCAGUUUUGGCAGCUCCUCGCCAAUAUCCAGCAGAAAUGUGGCUUUGUUUCCUGUGAGCCCCGUUCACAGCUAGGAGGAGCCACAGAGCUCAGGAGGCAGGUGGCUGCAGGGCUCUGGCAGACUGGCUACCAUGCUGACUGGAUGUAUGAGCGGGGGGGAGGAGAAGGAGGGGAGGGAGGGAGAUUCUCCAGCAAAGACCUCCUGCUGGCGCUGGGCUGGCUGCUCGCUACAGGAACUCUGGAGAAACUGCUGACUCAGAGAGUGGAGCAACUGGACAAAACACUCAUACUCACUCCUUCACCUGUAAGCACCACAGCAUUAUGCGGGUAAACCAUCGGCUUCCAACUGAGCUCCCGUUGGACUCAGCAUCUCUCCGGAGGCUUCAGUGGCUCGUUGGUUCUCUGAGACACCAGGGCCGCACCCUGCUGUCCAUGCAAGAAGAGAGGACCUGCCUUCUCCAUGCUGUUUCUGUUGCCAGCCUUCCAUCCUCUGUAUCCCCCUCCUCCUCAGAUCAGAGCUCAACAUUGCUAAGGAAGGUAAGUCUGUGC